GAGUGUGACCCGUUGCACUAACCAACUGAAUCCCAAUAGAACUCUGAAGUUAAAAGUGCUUGAACGAGAGCAUUACUAGGCUGGUGACGCGAUGGGAAGUCCUCAUAUUGCACCGC
rnacentral:rRNA from 1 species